UCCCGCAGGCGUCGAAUUCCUCGGAAGCACUCCUGACAAAACCCAACCUCGUCCCCACACAAAAAUAAAAACCUAACCUCCUCCGCGCCGCCGCCACCUUCCCCCGCCGCCUCCAGAUCGUCGCCGUCGCCAUCGCCAUCGCCGCCCCCGCGCCCCGUGCGCCCCCGCGCCCCGUGCGCCCCCAGCCCCUCGUCUCCGGUGAUCCAAAGGUGUAGAUCGCCCCCGGAGAGCCCCCGCGCGCGUCGGCAAUGUCGACCUUCGCCAAGCCUGAGAACGCUCUCAAGAGAGCCGAGGAGUUGAUACAUGUUGGACAAAAGCAGGCAGCGCUGCAGGCGCUGCAUGAUCUCAUUACAUCAAGAAGAUACAAGUCAUGGCAAAAGCCUCUUGAGAAGAUCAUGAUGAAGUAUGUAGAGCUGUGUGUAGAUCUUAGGCAAGGCAGAUUUGCCAAAGAUGGUCUUAUUCAGUACAGAAUUGUCUGCCAGCAAGUCAACGUGUCAUCUUUGGAGGAGGUCAUAAAACACUUUA